GGGGCUGUAGCUCAGCGGGAGAGCACCUGCUUUGCACGCAGGGGGUCAGGGGUUCGAAUCCCCUCAGCUCCACCA
rnacentral:tRNA from 1 species